UACGGGGGGGGCAAGCGUUGUUCGGAAUUACUGGGCGUAAAGGGCUCGUAGGCGGCCAACUAAGUCAGACGUGAAAUCCCUCGGCUUAACCGGGGAACUGCGUCUGAUACUGGAUGGCUUGAGUUUGGGAGAGGGAUGCGGAAUUCCUGGUGUAGCGGUGAAAUGCGCAGAUAUCAGGAGGAACACCGGUGGCGAAGGCGGGUCUCUGGGCCGAUACUGACGCUGAGGAGCGAAAGCGUGGGGAGCGAACAGG
rnacentral:rRNA from 1 species